CACGUGGGGAGCAAGCGUUGUUCGGAAUCACUGGGCGUAAAGGGCGUGUAGGCGGUCAGGUAAGUGGGAUGUGAAAUGCCCCGGCUCACCCGGGGACCGGCAUCCCAUACUGCUUGGCUUGAGUACGGGAGAGGAUGUGGGAAUUCCUGGUGUAGCGGUGAAAUGCGUAGAUAUCAGGAGGAACACCGGUGGCGAAGGCGCACAUCUGGCCCGAUACUGACGCUGAGGCGCGAAAGCUAGGGGAGCAAACGGG
rnacentral:rRNA from 1 species